UACGUAGGGAGCAAGCGUUAUCCGGAUUUAUUGGGCGUAAAGCGCGCGUAGGCGGCUUGUUAAGUCAGGUGUGAAAGCCGGGGGCUCAACCCGCGGAUUGCAUCUGAAACUGGCAGGCUUGAGUGUGGUAGAGGAAAGUGGAAUUCCCGGUGUAGCGGUGAAAUGCGCAGAUAUCGGGAGGAACACCAGUGGCGAAGGCGGCUUUCUGGGCCACCACUGACGCUGAGGCGCGAAAGCUAGGGGAGCGAACAGG
rnacentral:rRNA from 1 species